CAUCGUUUCAAUUGACUACAUCAUCGGUGUAGCAACAUGCUGCAGCCAUGGAAUCUCGCUCUCUUUGUUCUGUCUGUGAUCGUCCUGUCGUCGGUUCACACUAUGGCAGCCAUCAUUGGAGCCCCACUAAGGAAAUUAAAUAGAACCAAAGUAGAAGCUCAAACUGACCGUUAAUAAUAUAUUUGGAGUUCGAAGCAACCUGCGAAUCGACCGUGUCACUGUUGUAAUCAAAAUUAGAUUUGCAGUUAUAAGACCCAAUGGGAAAUAAAGUACUUUUCGAAACCUGAAA